GUGCUUGCAUGGAUAGUACAUAUACCCAAAUUGGGACAAUGCAGAGAAGAUUAGCAUGGUCCCUGCCCAGGGAUGCCACUUCUGUUUAUGAUGCAUCUCAUAUUUUG
rfam:Otolemur garnettii contig178909, whole genome shotgun sequence.